rnacentral:rRNA from 1 species
UACGGGGGGGGGCGAGCGUUGUUCGGAAUUACUGGGCGUAAAGGGCGCGUAGGCGGUUCGCUAAGUUGGAUGUGAAAACUCUGGGCUCAACCCAGAGCCUGCAGCCGAUACGGGCUGACUAGAAUUCGGUAGGGGAGACUGGAAUUCCUGGUGUAGCGGUGAAAUGCGCAGAUAUCAGGAGGAACACCGGUGGCGAAGGCGGGUCUCUGGGCCGAUAUUGACGCUGAGGAGCGAAAGCGUGGGGAGCAAACAGG